rnacentral:lncRNA from 1 species
UUCACAUAGUUGCAACGAGAAGGACUAUUUCUUUUUCUAGUUUGGUUUCUUGCUAAUCUAAUUCAGAAAGACUUGUAGAAAACUCACUUUCUGCAAAUUAUAACCUUGACCUCAAAUGAUGUGACCAAAUAUGAAAUAUUUGUUGCUCAGAUAAACCAAAUUCAGCAACAACCUAGCAAAAAACAACAACAACAUAUAGCGAAUUCGAGGAGGGUAAUAUGUGCGUGGACCUUUAGAAUACUGUAAAAAUAGAAAAAUUAUUUCCAAUAGACCUUAGCUCAAGUAAAGCAUAAGCACAAUAAUAGUAUAAAAGAGCAACAAUCUAGAAAUUGGAACAAAUUAUCAUACAGAUGCACAUUUAAGAAAGGUAUAAUAAAUUGUUCAACAAAUUGGAGGAAAAAAGUUCUCAAAGAGUUCAACAAAAGGCAGCUCAUUUUUAGCAGUCAAACUAACUAUUUAGGCCAAACACUAACUUUUUCUUUCUCAAACUUCAAAUACACAGCCGCUAAAGCCGCCACAAAAUAAACCUGAAUAAACACAAUUGACGGCGUGUGAUAAUUAAUCACGCUCUUACCUGUUGCAAGUUCCACUAAUAGCAAAGCGGUUAACCCGAGACCCGCGAUCCGGCCAUUGACCCGCUCCGAAUAGGGGCUGAACCCGAAUUCAACAUUCAGUCCAUCAGAUACCGGCUCCUUUAGUGGAAUUGGCGGGAGGAACAUGC